rnacentral:rRNA from 1 species
CAAUCUCUCCCAACCCUAAACCCCCAUUCCCUCCCCUCCCCUCCCCUCCCCUUCCCUUUCCUUCCCUUCCCUUCCCUUCCCUUCCCUAGAAAGAGAGACCUCCUCCUCACGCCGGCCACCGCAAAACACACAGCCACUACACAAACAAACAGACAAACAAGAUGUUCGCCGACGCCGGCUUCAGCUUCUCCGCCUACUCGCCGCCGGGGCCAGGCUACUCAUACUCCCCGCUCUUCUCCUCCUCCCCCUCCUCCUUCUCCUCCCCAUCUGCAUCCACCCACGCUGCUCCGCCGCCGCCACCUCUCCCUCUCCCUCUCCCUCUCCUGCACCACCAACAACAACAACAUCAAGCCGCCGCCGCCGCCGCCGCCAUGUACCACCACCUCGGAGACAUGGGGCAGCCAUCCCUGAUAUCAGAGUACGACCUGGGAGCAGAGGGGGACCUGUUCAAGGCUCCGGAGCCCAUAAUCGAGGAGCCGCUGCUGGCCCUCGACCCGGUAGCCGCCGCCAUCUCGAUGAUGUCCGGCGGGGACAACUCCAUGGACGACAGCAUCAAGGUCUCCGACAUGGGCCUGAGCGAGGUGCUGUACGAGUGCGAGAAGGAGCUCAUGGAGAAGUCGGCCAUCGAGGAGACCAUAUCCGAGCUGCUGGACGUCAAGAUCCCCAUGCUGCAGGUCGAGGACGUGCCCGGGGAGCUCAGGGCAUCAUCGUCGUCGACGGUUGCUGCUGCCGGCACCGGCGAGUGCUCGCUCCAGAAGAGCGUCAGCUCCGGGUGCCUCAACUCGGGCGACUGGAUGAACGGGUCGGCGGUGAGGCCCAACUUCCUCGACUUCCAAGGGCUCGACUUCGAGGCCGCCUUCGGGCUCCGGCGAGCCUACAGCGAGGGUGACAUUCAGCUUGGUGCCAACAACCCUCGACCUGGGAUCGCAGGAAAUGUGCAGGCAUCUGGUGAGAGGCUUGUGACCAUCAGUGACCUGAAAAGCGAGGAGAGGAAGCAGAAGCUCAACAGGUACAGGAAGAAGAAGAUCCAGAGGAACUUUGGCAGAAAGAUCAAGUAUGCUUGCAGGAAGGCUCUGGCAGACAGCCAGCCGAGGGUGCGAGGGAGGUUCGCCAAGAUGGACGACGGCGACAUGCUCAAGCCGAGGAAGUAGACGGGGCCAUGGAGGCCGCCGCCAAGCCGAUGAGGAUGGAAGACAAAGGUUGUUGCAAGGAGGGAAUUAAGCUGCUGCUGCUGCUGCUGAGAGCUGCUGCCAGCGGCUUUGUUGGCGUCUAGAAGCUUCUAGGUGAGGCGGCACCGCCUUCUAGGAUCAUGGCUGUUGUGCCACGCUGCGCCGCCCGUCGGAAUUCAUUUCAGUCGAUCCAUCAAAUCCGUUCCUUGGGGUGACAUUUUCUAUUUUCGCGUUCGUUUGUAGUAGUAGUAAUAAUAAUAUGAUGGUCCUCCUCCCUGUGGUGCAAGAGAGUGGAGAGCCCUCCCUAGCUUCUCUGUGUACAAAGGCUUGAACUUGAAGUUGGUACUAAAUAAAUAAAACCCAGGCCCCUCUCUUGUCA